UACGGGGGGGGCAAGCGUUGUUCGGAAUUACUGGGCGUAAAGGGCUCGUAGGCGGCCAACUAAGUCAGACGUGAAAUCCCUCGGCUUAACCGGGGAACUGCGUCUGAUACUGGAUGGCUUGAGGUUGGGAGAGGGAUGCGGAAUUCCAGGUGUAGCGGUGGAAUGCGCAGAUAUCAGGAGGAACACCAAUAGCGAAGGCAGCUCGCUGGGACGUUACUGACACUGAGGCGCGAAAGCGUGGGGAGCGAACAGG
rnacentral:rRNA from 1 species